CUUGUCUGUUACUGAACAAUGAAGUUUGCCACAAAGUAAUAAGAUACCUGCUGCCCGAAUGGCUAGCAAGCUAAGUGCUGAAAUGAUAAACUAUAAUUGAACCGUCAAUGCUUAUGAACAAACCACAUAAACUACGAAUUUACCUUUAAUAUCUUUGGGGGAAAAAUGAAUCCUUAGCUCUCUAGUAUUCCGUUUGUUCUUCCCACAAACAACACAUCGGUUGCCGGCGUCGGGAGCCAUGUUUAUAUCUACCGCCGCGCCACCUAGCCAACGGUGAAGCUCGAAUUGUAUCAAGGAACAUCUAGAUAUUCCUUGAUGUGUAAAGACAGACGACAUAUCAGCGAUUCACCGCCAUCUAUAGGACAAGCAUUCAACUUAUAGGGAUUGAAUUAACCCUGGAAGAAUACACGCUCCAUACUGAUAUUCCUUGUAGGGAAGGUUGGCGGGGUUGAGGCCAGCAAGUAAAGAGUCCUGUCACCUGUGGCGUAGUCCUCGGAAGGUAAGAAGGAGUACAGCAGGAAACAUGGCCAGUGCUAUUCGCCAAAACUAUCAUGAAGAAUCCGAAGCUGCAAUUAACAAGCAUAUUAACUUGGAACUACAUGCCAGUUAUACCUUCCUCUCAAUGGGCUAUCACUUUGAGAGAGAUGAUGUAGCACUUCCAGGAUUGUCCAAAUUCUUCAAGGACCACAGUGAUUUUGAGCUUGAUAAUGCUCAAACGUUGAUGAAGUAUCAGAACCAGCGCGGGGGCCGUGUUGUAUUACAGGCCAUACCUGCACCCUGCCAACAGGAAUGGGGACAAGGGAUGGAGGCUCUCCAAGUAGCUUUAGAUCUUAAAAAACAAAUAAAUAAGUACAGUACCCAGAAAAACUCAAGAGAUGUGGGACUUUCCGUGUUUGAGAGGGUCGUCUCAUUAUCCGGAAGGUGUGCACCAAUUAUUCCGGCUACUGGGGAUACCAAUGUACUACUAUAUUGUAUCCCAGGAUAGGUAUUACUGUACUGGAGUAUGGGAUGCCAAUGUGACUGCUGACAAAUGAGAGAAAUCUAUCAAGAGAUCAAAUUUGGAUUUCCAGAGUCUCCUAGAUGUUCGUGAAGUGGCGU
rnacentral:misc_RNA from 1 species